UACGAAGGGGGCUAGCGUUGCUCGGAAUCACUGGGCGUAAAGGGUGCGUAGGCGGGUCUUUAAGUCAGGGGUGAAAUCCUGGAGCUCAACUCCAGAACUGCCUUUGAUACUGAGGAUCUUGAGUUCGGGAGGGGUGAGUGGAACUGCGAGUGUAGAGGUGAAAUUCGUAGAUAUUCGCAAGAACACCAGUGGCGAAGGCGGCUCUCUGGGACGGUACUGACGCUGAGACGCGAAAGCGUGGGGAGCGAACAGG
rnacentral:rRNA from 1 species